rfam:Callithrix jacchus chromosome 16, whole genome shotgun sequence
UAAUAGGUUUUUUUAAAAACCACUUAUUAUGAUUAAAACAAUAACU